rnacentral:rRNA from 1 species
CCUUCGGGUGUGAGUAGAGUGGCGGACGGGUGAGUAAUACUUGGGAAUCUGCCUAGUAGUGGGGGAUAACUCGGGGAAACUCGAGCUAAUACCGCAUACGCCCUACGGGGGAAAGAUUUAUCGCUAUUAGAUGAGCCCAAGUCAGAUUAGCUAGUUGGUAGGGUAAUGGCCUACCAAGGCGACGAUCUGUAGCUGGUCUGAGAGGACGAACAGCCACACUGGGACUGAGACACGGCCCAG